rnacentral:misc_RNA from 1 species
AGCAGCCGCGGUAAUUCCAGCUCCAAUAGCGUAUAUUAAAGUUGUUGCAGUUAAAAGCUCGUAGUUGAAUUUCGGGGUCAGCAGGUUGGUCGUGCCAAUGGUAUGCACUGGCCUUGCUGAUUCCUCCCUCUUGAUGAGCCGUAAUGUCAUUAAUUUGGUGUUGCGGGGAAUCAGGCCUGUUACUUUGAAAAAUUGAGUGUUUAAAGCAGGCAAGCGCUUGAAUACAUUAGCAUGGAAUAAUGAAAUAGGACGUUUGAUCCUAUUUUGUUGGUUUCUAGGAUUGACGUAAUGAUUAAUAGGGAUAGUUGGGGGCAUUAGUAUUCAAUUGUCAGAGGUGAAAUUCUUGGAUUUAUUGAAGACUAACUACUG